rnacentral:snoRNA from 1 species
UUCAACUACAGUUCAAAGAAUCACUUUAGAGUAGACGUCCUCUUCUAAGCUCUUUAUAAGAGCCACAGAAUCUCCACCCUUGCUGAUGACUGCAUGUCCUCGAUGCCCUAAAGUGAAGCCUUUAGACUCCCGCCUCGACUGCUACGCGAUCGUCAGAUCUGUGUUAAUGUCCAGGGAGUGGUGAUGAUCUUUACCUGGUCUCGGCGUCUGACUUCGGUCGGCUGGUCCUGGUGGGUGUCGAGGAGGUCUGAAAGGU